CUUGAUCAGCCUGGGAGAUAACAUCACAAGCUUCUGUGGGGCAGUAUGUGAGCUGUGAUUAGAUCGAAUAUAUUUAUUAGUUGAAGAAACCUGGAAUAGGAUCAUGUGUUGGGAGGAGAAUCUGGCAUUUUGAGGACCAUCUUGGAAAGAAGAAGGUUGCAGGGUAUAAUUUGCUGUAUUGGUCCAGAACUCAGAAGAGACCUGUGGCGGAGAUUACACUGGAGACUCACUGACUUGCAUCUAGCAAACAAAGUACAGGCAUGGUGAGACUGCUUGGGGGAAAGAGUACAGGAAGAGAAGAGUCUCUAAGUCUAGAUGGUAUGAAGAGAUGAAAGACUUGGGCAUGUAACUCUGAUGGUAAGGAUCCAGAAGGGAUGCAGCGGGCCCUAAGGAAGAGAGAAGAGGUGUGAACACUUCCCGAGAAGGCGGGAGAGCAUGGAUGGGAUCCAAGCUUCCACGGAGAAUGGGACGGAGGACAUGUGCUGGGGCUCUUAUUAGCACAGUCAGCAGAUCAACCUGUUCCAGGACAGGACAGCAGUUCUCCUCACAUACGCGGCACUGUGUUCCAGUCAUUCAACCAACCUCCACCCACACGGACCUGUUAUCUACUGGCAUGCCU